UUUUGAAACAAGUGCAGCCUUCAAAACGCGUGAUCAAAGUUAGAAGUUGGGUCCAUUCGAAGUUGACCUCGACAAAUUACUCCGUUCGUACAUACGGUUUUGGUUAGAUCGUCAAACUUUACUAACUAUUUAGGAGCUGUCUCCAGAAACGACGAUACGAUGGCGCUCAUUUAAUUCAAACGUCCAGACAAUAAUUGUUAAAAGUUUUGCGAGAAAUUUGUCCGGCCAUCGUUUCGCUGUCCGUCGAUAAUUUCCGUUCGGGACAGCGGAUAGAACAGGCAACGUAGAAAAACAAGUAUCGGGCUUGGGAAUGCGGUAUGUUUGUGCGACCCCGACACCAAGGAGUGGACUGUAACAUACAGCGCUGAUAUCUGAUAAGCGUAAGACAAGCCAUUACUAACACUGCCGGUCCUGAUGUUCCUAGUGUAGUAGGAUUGACAGCCGGCAUUGACUUGGUAAAGCUAUACGCCACAAGUUUCAUUGGCCAGUAGAAUAGCUGGUCUGACCAGCCUACAAACAGCAGUUUCCCGCCAGUGUCGCUCUCAACAUCGCCAGCGUAGAGCUCAGCGAAGCCACUGAUUAAGCUGGUGGCAACAAUACCACUAAGCGGGUAAACGACGAGGCGUCUAUCCGGAAAGCCAAGCUGUCGUCCGUACAGGGAGCUAAUGGCUGAUGGGGUGCCUGAGAGCCUCUACUGGUCUUCACGGUUCUGCCAGAUUCAGCCCCAUCAGUCUAGUCCGGUGAAACGCAAAGAUGUUAUAGUUCAGCCAAUAAAGCAUGAGAGGAUAGAAGACUUACCACACAGCUGCUAUUUGCAUUGGGGCCUUGCUACACGAAGGCAUUUCGAGGAAUGAGCACGGUACCUCCGAACGCAUAGCGGGAUGUUGAAUCUGCGUGGUGCGAGUAACCUGCACGAUGAGUGCACCAAUUAGCGGAGCGCCAUUGAGUUGACAUAUCUCUAUGUUUCGAGUUUCACGUCCGGUAUGGCCGUUAGGCAUUCCAUCAGUCGACUGGUUCCCAACGCGAAACGCAGUCUGUCUCUGCUCGGGUUCGAACCUACAAGUAGGAAAACUCACCCAGCUCUCACGGGAACACGUUGACGGACCUAACGGAGCGCUCGUAGUAGUUAGAAAAGCACAGUACGAGAGCGUGCACCAUAUGCCGUAGCUUAUCCAGUUCCCGAGUUUCGUACUAGUUCUACAAUAUAUAAUAAGUACAAUUAAGUUUGCCGAAAGGGGCAACGGUA